CAUGUACUCCCUCCGUUCCAAAAUAGAUGACCCAACUUUGUACUAACUUUGUACUAAGUUGGGUCAAACAAAGUUAGUACAAAGUUGGGUCAUCUAUUUUGGAACGGAGGGAGUAUAUC
rfam:Triticum aestivum genome assembly, contig: Triticum_aestivum_CS42_TGACv1_scaffold_527375_6DL